UAGAGUAAAUAGAUUAGUAUAUGCAGUAGAUAGAAGUUUCCAUUUCAUCUCUGUAGUAGCAGUGGAGCUCUUCUAGUCUACUUUUACACUUCAAAUACACGUCAAAUUGAUGGAAACUUUCAUUUUUUCUAUAUGAUACUGUUUGUAAGUAUGGCAGCAACACCAUUUAUGUCUCUUGUUCAUUUCCGUGUCUGUUUGAUGAUCUGUCUCAUCACAGCACUAUGUCCAUACCCACUGCACCAGUCUGAAGGUCAGAUGUCAGGCCUUAAAGAAGAGUUCACUGUUCCUGCUGUGGCAGCUCCGACUCCAGGAACGCUCCAGCAGCGUAAACUCAACAGUUUUUCAUUAGAGGAACAGAAAAUCCUCCUCUCUUUGGACAGACUCAACCACAGAUUACACUGUGUCCAAGAACAGGGUCCAAAUCAUGCUCGCACCCAGCAGUUUGUUCUAUUAACGAAGGAAAUGAAAGUCACAAACCCUGACAAUCAAAACACAUUGCUGUCAAACAGGAGUGCCCGACAGCUGAGGAAAUAAUAAUAUAGACUGUACUUUUAUGAUAAAGCUGUACUUUUCUCUGAAGUGUUUUCUUUAUAAUUGGUAACCAAGAACAUUUUUACCCUCCAGGACAUCUGAUCUAAUCUCUUUUCAAACCAGUCAUGCCUUUGGAGUUUCCUCCAGAUGUUUUUAUGACACAGUGAAAUGUAAAAAUGUAAAGAAAGAGCAAAAAUCGAUUGGAUAAGAAUCCAAUGUAGAAAAUGUAUUUUACUAUAAUAUUAGUAGUAACCUAUAACCUAUUAUAAAACAUAGAUUAUGAUUUUAUAUCAAAUUGAAAACACAGUCUGGUUAGUCUCUCAUGUUUUUCAAAAAAGUGUGUCUCAGGCAGUCAGUGGAUAUCUUUCUAGGUAUUUUUCUCACAUUGGAAAUAUCUUUUGGUUAUCUUUCUAUUAUUUAUGUUAUCCCUGUGUUAACUUUAAGGUCUUUGGCUAAUCGUUAGCUUUUGGUUUGUGUCUCUCUCUGCUUACCUAUGACUAUGUAAGUUGGCUCUUAGUUCAUCUUCACCUUUUGUAUUUAUAUUUUUAUGAGCAACAUGUCCUGCUUGGUGAUAGCUAAUCCUUCAUCACCGUUUAAAGGUAAAUGGUCAGACUGGACAGGUUCUUUGAAAACUGACAUUCCAUUUAGACUUCAAAGAACCAUAAUACUUUUCAAAAAAAUGUCCAAAUACGUCUCCUCAAAAGGUUACGUAAGUGCAUAACCUAAGGGAAAGAUUUCCAAAUUUAAAAGCAUUUGUAUUGCCUGAAAUUCAUACAUAAGAUAAUUUCGAAUGCAUCACUAAUGUUAUUUUUGGCUCUCUUCAGACAAAGCUGUCUCUCAUCUGUAAUCUUACAAUCCUUUUGAAAGUCUGUGAUUUAUUGCCUUUGGAAAAAAAACACAACAAAACACAAAGGUAUGUGUUCAGUCAUUAGUAUUUACUUGGUUUACUACUACAUUUUGGUUUUAAAGCACUACAGGACAUCUACUCUAUGCACUUUACAGUUUGAAGUGACUGUGCAAAACACAAUGGCUUCGUUUUUUUUUGUCUUAUAGUUCAAGACAUUUUGCACCUUUAUUUCCAUUUUGUCCUAAAACUUUAAUUUCACAUUAUCUGUUUUGAGACCGCACUGAAAGAGGAGAGUUGUCAGUGUUGAGUGAUAAAUUGCCAGGUUGUUAGCUACUUGUCCCUGUUUCCUCUGUCAACGCAGCGGUCAAUAAAGUGACUGAGGAGCGGAAGUGGUUCAUAAAAAAAGCGGCGUUGUGAAGGUGUAGCUAUGUUUGUCUUUCUUUUACAGCGGCAGGAAGGACAAUUAUGUCUUGUGCAGUGAGACUCAACUUACUGGCCAAACAAGGAGAGCUUCUGCCACAGGGCCUCCAGCUAUUUGUUGUAAAUACAUCUACGCUGAAAUGUGCUCAGGUUGUUGAAUAAUCCCUAAAUUAUGAGACAUUACAAUAAGAACUGGCAUCAUUUCAUCCCAACUGUCAAUUACUUCAUUGUCAAAUGAGAAGGCCGUUAUUUAAGGGAUCAUGUCCGUCUCUCGCCCUUAAAAACGUGCAUCAGAAGAAGAAAAAAUAGCUGCAGGUAUUAUUACUGAGAGUUCAACAGCCCCUCCUUCUGCAGCGUGUCUGGUUUUGCCCUUCUAUCUGCCUGCUGCAACAUGCUGCAGGAGUUAGAGGAGGCCCGAGCUCCUUUCCAGGAUCACGUUCCUAUAGGUGAUGAAAUACUAAAGGUUUACCUGCUGCUUCUUUACCUGCAUAAACACACCCUUGUUUCCUUUAAGGCAAAAAUCAGGACCAUGGUGUGAUUACCAACCACAGCGUAUUCCCACAUCAUCAAACAAAUGAUAUACAGUACAUGGUCCUUAGUGUCUUCAUCUGUUCUUGGUGAUGUGGGGAAAAUGUUCUCUUCCAUUUUUAAUAAUGUCCAGGGCAGAAUUUUAUGAAAUGUUAGCUGUUGUCUUCCUAGUUCUUUUUUUGUUUGUUUGUUUUUUGAAAACCCAAAAAAGCUUCACGCUUUUCUUUUAGCAAUAUUUGCAAUAUUGAAGCCUAAUUAUAUCUUUAAACUAUUUUUAGAUACAAAUCCAUUCAUUUAAAAAGUUGGUAAACAUCCUAAUAUCAAGCCAAAGAUAGCAUUUGUAUCACAGUUUGACAUGUUAGCUUUUCUUUUUUAGGCAGAAAAACACAGGGAGAUUUUUAUUAUCAUUUUUUUAUUUUUUAUUUUUUUACAGACUAAGAGAAUUCACUUUGUUCACCAUAUAUAGUUUAGAAAUGUACUCCUGCAAUACACUUCAAAACAUGUAUUUUACAGAAAUAAACCUGCAAUAUGUAUAAGCCAGGCGUUAGCAUCAGUUACAAUUACAAAAAGACUUGCAGGUUAUAAAUUUUAUAUAAGCUGCAAUUCAUGUUUCCUAACCAUUUCCCAUACUGCAGUAUAUUGUAAUCAGUGCCAGAAAAUGAUAAUAGCUCUUUAUUCUAAUGCUUUGCACGUUUGUUUUUCAGUGAAAAGACUAAUAGCUAAAUGUUUUUGUUGGUAAUUGACCAACUUGCAUAUUUUUAUACAUUUUGUGCCAAUUGUUCUUCGAAUUUGACUUUUUUGUAGGAUGAUUUUCCUUACUUACCUUAAUUUUAACUACUUUAUUUCAGCUUUUUUGGCUGCUUUUCUGAGCAUAACUUUUUGCCUGCCCCCCAAAGGCCAGUCAUUUCAGGGCUAACCCUGAGUUUUGUUAGGAAGCUUUAUGGCUAACUAUAACCUUGUUCUGCCUAACUCCUAGUAAUUUCCCACAUUUCUUUGGACUCUUAAAUGCUAAAAUUGCACCUAUACCUUUUUCUUAUAAACUUUCAGUUAUAUAAUUUGUAAUUGCAGUUAACAGACAAUAGUUGUUCUUGUCGCAAAAGCCUGAUGUGUAACUAUGCCGCCCCCUAAUUAGAAGGAGAAGGAGAAUUGUAAAUGUCACAAAGGGAUUUUAUUUCAGCUCCCACUUAUAUCUGACCUUUUCACUAGUUCUAGUGUAGGAUAGCAAUACCACCAGCAUUCCAUUGGAAUUGGAACCUGAUGGCAAUGGAAUACACGGGCACAAAAUGUAAACCAGCAAAUCAGGUGUUAUCUGGGCAACAUACAGUAGCCUUACAGGCCUAAAUAAACUCUCACUGUUUAUUCUCCUACAGCUGCCUCUUUCUUACCGCCCCCCUGCACUAACCCCCUCAGCACUCACAGUCAUUACACUUCACAAUGCUGAGAGUAAUGACAUUUAAGCCUUUCAUCGGCACAACACCCUAAAACUCAACAAGAAAGGGCAAAGAGUGUUGAAAAUGAGGCAAGACAUUUCCACAGAUGCAAGUUUAAGCAUGUAGUUUGGUCUGUCGUGAGGCUCAAUCUCUCACGAGAAUUCUGUCGUGUUUUGUUACGCUUUAUUUAACAUGCGUGGGACAAUCUGUCUGGUCUAGCCCAUUCUUUUUUAACCAAUAAUUACAUAGAUGCAUGUACAAUGAAAAAUAAUAACAGCUUUGUGUAUCACUAUUAAAAGACAAAUCACUAACAGAUGUUGAUGUCAGUUAAAAAUAGAUUCGUUUGUAUGUGGUAGGAAAAAUACUGCACAGUUGGUUUAAUGGUUUAAUAACUAUUCAUUAUUUUUUUUAAAUUAAGAAAAAAAGAAUACAAGCAAAGAAUAGUAAAUUAAAAUUGAAUCAAAAUCUCUAACGACGAGGCUUUGCUUUCAUGCCAGCAGCAGUUUCAUAGGUUCACAUACUCAAAGAGAUUUUAUUGGAUCAGUCAAAUUUAAGAUUAACCAGUGGCUUCAAAAGCUGCUAAUGAUUGUCAUUGCGGAAUAAAACAGAAACAGCUGUGUGGGUGAAGUGAUGGCAAAACUUUGAAUACUUGUGAGGUCACACUGUCGCAGAAAUUAAAAUGAUUUAAUUGCAUCAGCUGCGCCUGCUCUGACGAGGUUUUAGAAAUGAUGAUUGAUUUAGAAAAUGAUUUAGAAAAGAAUCUUUUUGCUGGAACAUAAAGAAACUGCCAGUGUCUCUUAUCUGUGUUGAAUAUUAGAGACAUGUUUAAUUACUCCAACUGAGAAAAUGUAGCUCUGUAGUCAAAUCAAAACUUACUUCACCUUACACGUUUAUCAACUGUCCAAAAAAGUGUGGACAAUAAAUGGUAUUUAUAGAAGGAUUGCUGUCCUGUUACCAAACCUCUUACAUUGGAACAAGGCCAGCUGACUCAACUCCGCACAGAAAUGUAGAAACUGAGGAUUGACAGAUGAGUGUUGAUGAGUGAUGACUGUCUGCUGAAAGACCGAGGAGUGGUUCAAUCAUUUGCAUCUAUAGCCAACAGUGAAGCCUGAUGGUGCUUCCUUGCAGGUUGUAUUAGGCAAUACUACCAAUGAGGGGCUUCACUGGAAUUCUUUCUUUAGUAGGACAAAGACCAAAAACACACAAGGGAAGUAAAAAAAAAUUCCAAGACAAAUUUAAAAACUUUGCAAACAUAAUAUUUUUAUAUUGACUAUGUUUUUCUAAAAUAUUCUCUAUUAAAGUUUAAAUAUAUCUGCCAUGGGUGUUUUUAGCAUUUUAUUUUCUUUGUAUAGUCAUGGGGAUGUCUAUUGCACCAGGUCACAUCCUACUUCUUUGCCUUAUCAACGGAGUGAAAUUGACUUCUUUUUAAUUAUUUUUUUUUUUAGCUUUGGGAAAAUAAAAUCUGAUGAAGCUAGCUUCCAAACAUGGUAAAAA